rnacentral:lncRNA from 1 species
GUCCAUGCACGUUUCUGCACGUACCAAUAAUUCAUUUCUCUCUGUUGCUGAAGCAUCUUUCAAGGCAAAGAGGAGUGAAGAACCAGUGUUAUAUAGAAUGUUUUAUUUUAAAGCAACAAGCAUGCAUUGACUUCACAGCCGGAGGAAGACUAUGUAGGAAUCAUGGUUCAUUAUUCUUAGUAACAGUGGCCCUGAUUUACCCAAGUGCAAGGCUGCCUGGCUGGAGAGCAAACCAUCACUUCUCCUUGCAAGAAACUCUGUCUGCGUCUUGAGUAAAUGUGAUGUGGCGACUUUUAGGAUCCCUCUGUAAGAGACAGAUGGUAGUCCCUGGUACUUCACCCCACGUCCUGUUCAAGCAGGGGUCAUCACAUGACCUUCCGUUAGAAGCCAUUGCUUAGAUGCCACAAUUCAAUCCAUGGGAGAACAGUAGCACAGCCAUCGAUCCUAAAGGAUUAUGGUUCAAGUCAAUGAGCUUCGGGAUGCUCUAUCAGGU